ACAGUUGUGGUGUUUGCAUAUGUGUGCUGUGUCACUGCUGCACACACUUUAAGAGCUGUAGUGCUGAUCAGAGUGUGUUCAGUCCUUUCAGAGCCACUGACACGCAGCACAAUGAUGAUGGUACUGAUUCUACUGCUGGGGACACUGGGACUCCUCGCUCACCAGUCCUUUGGGGAAAUCGUCGUGACUCAGUCUCCAGGAUCUCAGUCUGUUUCUCCAGGAGAAUCUGUUACUCUCACCUGUAGAACCAGUCAGAGUGUUAGCAGUUGGCUCGCCUGGUACCUGCAGAAACCUGGAGAAGCUCCUAAACUCCUGAUCUAUGGUGCAUCUACUCGUCAGUCUGGCAUUCCAGAUCGUUUCAGUGGCAGUGGAUCUGGUACACAGUUUAGUCUAAAAAUCUCUGGAGUUCAGACUGAAGAUGCAGGAGAUUAUUACUGUCAGCAGUAUAGCAGCACUCCGUACACACAGUGUUAUAGCGCCGUACAAAAACCUCCCUCAGCUGUAGAGGAAGUGCUCUGAGUCAGAAACACACACUGAUCUGAGAACAGCUGCAGAGCUGCUAAAGCUGCACUCCACUGAACAUCAUCAAACGUGUUCAUUUAAAGAA